rnacentral:rRNA from 1 species
GUCCUAGCCGUAAACGUUGGGUGCUAGGUGUGGGGGGACAUCGACCCCCUCCGUGCCGAAGCUAACGCAUUAAGCACCCCGCCUGGGGAGUACGGCCGCAAGGCUAAAACUCAAAGGAAUUGACGGGGCCCCGCACAAGCGGCGGAGCAUGUUGCUUAAUUCGAUGCGACGCGAAGAACCUUACCUGGGCUUGACAUGCAGGGUGAAACCCGUGAAAGCGGGCGCUCUUCGGAGCCUGCACAGGUGGUGCAUGGCUGUCGU